rnacentral:rRNA from 1 species
CCAGACUCCUACGGGAGGCAGCAGUGGGGAAUAUUGCACAAUGGGGGGAACCCUGAUGCAGCGACGCCGCGUGGGUGAAGGAGCACCCCGGUGCGUAAAGCCCUAUCGGCAGGGAAGAAACAGACGGUACCUGACUAAGAAGCCCCGGCUAACUACGUGCCAGCAGCCGCGGUAAUACGUAGGGGGCAAGCGUUAUCCGGAUUCACUGGGUGUAAAGGGAGCGUAGACGGCGACGCAAGUCUGGAGUGAAAGCCCGGGGCCCAACCCCGGGACUGCUCUGGAAACUGCGGCGCUGGAGUACGGGAGGGGCAGGCGGAAUUCCUGGUGUAGCGGUGAAAUGCGUAGAUAUCAGGAGGAACACCGGCGGCGAAGGCGGCCUGCUGGACCGUGACUGACGUUGAGGCUCGAGAGCGUGGGGAGCAAACAGGAUUAGAUACCCUAGUA